rnacentral:rRNA from 1 species
AAUCAACGCUGGCGGCGUGCCUAACACAUGCAAGUCGAACGCGAAAGUCCCGCAAGGGGCAAGUAGAGUGGCGCACGGGUGAGUAACACGUGGAUAACCUGCCUUCGAGUGGGGAAUAACCUUCCGAAAGGAGGGCUAAUACCGCAUAACACCCCGGGACAAAAGUCUUGGGGUUAAAAAGAGCAAUUUGCUCGAAGAGGGGUCCGCGCCUGAUUAGCUAGUUGGUGGGGUAAUGGCUCACCAAGGCUAUGAUCAGUAGCCGUCCUGAGAGGGAGCACGGCCACACUGGAACUGAGACACGUUCCAGACUCCUACGGGAGGCAGCAGUGGGGAAUAUUGCACAAUGGGGGAAACCCUGAUGCAGCGACGCCGCGUGAGUGAAGAAGUAUUUCGGUAUGUAAAGCUCUAUCAGCAGGGAAGAUGAUGACAGUACCUGACUAAGAAGCCCCGGCUAACUACGUGCCAGCAGCCGCCGUAACAC